rnacentral:lncRNA from 1 species
CUGUGCCAGAGCUCUGUGCCAGUGUUCUGUGCCAUGCCAGAGCUCUGUGCCAGUGUUCUGUGCUGUGCCAGAGCUCUGUGCUGGUGCUGCUUCUACUACUUCUGCUGUGCCAGGGGAAUCUGGCAUCCUGCUGUGUGCUGUGCUGGUGCUCCGUGCUGUGCCGUGCCCUGCGCUGUGCCAGCCUCGCUCUGCCCGGUGCCAGGGUGCUGUGCCAGCGCUUCCCCCUGUGCCAGAGCUCUGUGUCAGUGUCACGCUCUGCCUGGUGUCACUCUGUGCUGGUGUCACUCUCUGUAUCAGUGUCACACUCUGCCCGGUGUCACACUCUGUGCCGGUGUCACUCUGUGCUGGUGUCACACUCUGUGCCGGUGUCACUCUCUUGUGUCAGUGUCACACUCUGCCCGGUGUCACUCGCUGUGUCAGUGUCACGCUCUGUGCCGGUGUCACUCUCUGUGUCAGUGUCACACUCUGCCCGGUGUCACGCUCUGUGCCGGUGUCACUCCGUGCUGGUGUCACUCUCUGUGUCAGUGUCACACUCUGCCCAGUGUCACACUCUGUGUCAGUGUCACACUCUGCCCGGUGUCACACUCUGUGCCAGUGUCACUCCGUGCUGGUGUCAGUCUCUGUGUCAGUGUCACACUCUGCCCAGUGUCACACUCUGUGCCAGUGUCACACUCUGUGUCAGUGUCACACUCUGCCCAGUGUCACACUCUGUGUCAGUGUCACACUCUGCCCGGUGUCACACUCUGUGCCAGUGUCACUCCGUGCUGGUGUCAGUCUCUGUGUCAGUGUCACACUCUGCCCAGUGUCACACUCUGUGCCAGUGUCACACUCUGUGUCAGUGUCACACUCUGCCCAGUGUCACACUCUGUGUCAGUGUCACACUCUGCCCGGUGUC